rnacentral:rRNA from 1 species
GUACACAAAAAUGCACAUAUUGUGAGCUCGAUGAGUAGGGCGGGACACGUGGUAUCCUGUCUGAAUAUGGGGGGACCAUCCUCCAAGGCUAAAUACUCCUGACUGACCGAUAGUGAACCAGUACCGUGAGGGAAAGGCGAAAAGAACCCCGGCGAGGGGAGUGAAAAAGAACCUGAAACCGUGUACGUACAAGCAGUGGGAGCCUCUUUAUGGGGUGACUGCGUACCUUUUGUAUAAUGGGUCAGCGACUUAUAUUCUGUAGCAAGGUUAACCGAAUAGGGGAGCCGAAGGGAAACCGAGUCUUAACUGGGCGUUAAGUUGCAGGGUAUAGACCCGAAACCCGGUGAUCUAGCCAUGGGCAGGUUGAAGGUUGGGUAACACUAACUGGAGGACCGAACCGACUAAUGUUGAAAAAUUAGCGGAUGACUUGUGGCUGGGGGUGAAAGGCCAAUCAAACCGGGAGAUAGCUGGUUCUCCCCGAAAGCUAUUUAGGUAGCGCCUCGUGAAUUCAUCUCCGGGGGUAGAGCACUGUUUCGGCAAGGGGGUCAUCCCGACUUACCAACCCGAUGCAAACUGCGAAUACCGGAGAAUGUUAUCACGGGAGACACACGGCGGGUGCUAACGUCCGUCGUGAAGAGGGAAACAACCCAGACCGCCAGCUAAGGUCCCAAAGUCAUGGUUAAGUGGGAAACGAUGUGGGAAGGCCCAGACAGCCAGGAUGUUGGCUUAGAAGCAGCCAUCAUUUAAAGAAAGCGUAAUAGCUCACUGGUCGAGUCGGCCUGCGCGGAAGAUGUAACGGGGCUAAACCAUGCACCGAAGCUGCGGCAGCGACACUAUGUGUUGUUGGGUAGGGGAGCGUUCUGUAAGCCUGUGAAGGUGGCCUGUGAGGGUUGCUGGAGGUAUCAGAAGUGCGAAUGCUGACAUAAGUAACGAUAAAGCGGGUGAAAAGCCCGCUCGCCGGAAGACCAAGGGUUCCUGUCCAACGUUAAUCGGGGCAGGGUGAGUCGACCCCUAAGGCGAGGCCGAAAGGCGUAGUCGAUGGGAAACAGGUUAAUAUUCCUGUACUUGGUGUUACUGCGAAGGGGGGACGGAGAAGGCUAUGUUGGCCGGGCGACGGUUGUCCCGGUUUAAGCGUGUAGGCUGGUUUUCCAGGCAAAUCCGGAAAACCAAGGCUGAGGCGUGAUGACGAGGCACUACGGUGCUGAAGCGACAAAUGCCCUGCUUCCAGGAAAAGCCUCUAAGCAUCAGGUAACAUCAAAUCGUACCCCAAACCGACACAGGUGGUCAGGUAGAGAAUACCAAGGCGCUUGAGAGAACUCGGGUGAAGGAACUAGGCAAAAUGGUGCCGUAACUUCGGGAGAAGGCACGCUGAUAUGUAGGUGAAGCGACUUGCUCGUGGAGCUGAAAUCAGUCGAAGAUACCAGCUGGCUGCAACUGUUUAUUAAAAACACAGCACUGUGCAAACACGAAAGUGGACGUAUACGGUGUGACGCCUGCCCGGUGCCGGAAGGUUAAUUGAUGGGGUUAGCGGUAACGCGAAGCUCUUGAUCGAAGCCCCGGUAAACGGCGGCCGUAACUAUAACGGUCCUAAGGUAGCGAAAUUCCUUGUCGGGUAAGUUCCGACCUGCACGAAUGGCGUAAUGAUGGCCAGGCUGUCUCCACCCGAGACUCAGUGAAAUUGAACUCGCUGUGAAGAUGCAGUGUACCCGCGGCAAGACGGAAAGACCCCGUGAACCUUUACUAUAGCUUGACACUGAACAUUGAGCCUUGAUGUGUAGGAUAGGUGGGAGGCUUUGAAGUGUGGACGCCAGUCUGCAUGGAGCCGACCUUGAAAUACCACCCUUUAAUGUUUGAUGUUCUAACGUUGGCCCGUAAUCCGGGUUGCGGACAGUGUCUGGUGGGUAGUUUGACUGGGGCGGUCUCCUCCUAAAGAGUAACGGAGGAGCACGAAGGUUGGCUAAUCCUGGUCGGACAUCAGGAGGUUAGUGCAAUGGCAUAAGCCAGCUUGACUGCGAGCGUGACGGCGCGAGCAGGUGCGAAAGCAGGUCAUAGUGAUCCGGUGGUUCUGAAUGGAAGGGCCAUCGCUCAACGGAUAAAAGGUACUCCGGGGAUAACAGGCUGAUACCGCCCAAGAGUUCAUAUCGACGGCGGUGUUUGGCACCUCGAUGUCGGCUCAUCACAUCCUGGGGCUGAAGUAGGUCCCAAGGGUAUGGCUGUUCGCCAUUUAAAGUGGUACGCGAGCUGGGUUUAGAACGUCGUGAGACAGUUCGGUCCCUAUCUGCCGUGGGCGCUGGAGAACUGAGGGGGGCUGCUCCUAGUACGAGAGGACCGGAGUGGACGCAUCACUGGUGUUCGGGUUGUCAUGCCAAUGGCACUGCCCGGUAGCUAAAUGCGGAAGAGAUAAGUGCUGAAAGCA